AUAAUGAUACUUCCGUCCAGCCACAGUCCGAGCGUGAUAAAACCGUCGCAGGCAAUGGGGGUGGCCUGCCAGUAUGGGGGGAGGUGAAACUCCUAUGA
rfam:Desulfotomaculum gibsoniae DSM 7213, complete genome.